rnacentral:lncRNA from 1 species
CAUAUGUUAACUUAUUGAAUGCUGACAGCAGCCCUCUAAGGUUGAUGCCAUUAAUAUUUCCAUUUACAGAUGAGGAAACAGAAUCAUAGAAAGAUUAAAUAAUUUGCCCAAUGUCACACAGUAAGUGGCAGAGUUCAUAUCCCUUGAAGACAUGACCACCACGCUUCACUCCCCGCCUGUGACACAGAGGAAGGUCUGAGAUGAAGAGUCCUCUCCGCCACCAGAAGCAGCAGCGAAAACCCAUCCAAAGGGUUCAAGAAAAACUUUCAUUCUGAGAAGAGGAACAGGGUCAGGGGAGGCACGCCGGACUCCACAUAAUUUCUUCCUUCAAUUUUGAAGGGGAGUCGAGGGCUGGACCAUCAAGGCUUUAGUCUGAAUUCAGGCCUAAUGUGAGAAUUAAAGAACAGAAACCGCCAGACUAA